GCUGGGGACAUUUAAAUAAAAAAAAAAUGUAUAUUAAUAAUUUAUUUGCAUAUAAUAUGACACAGCUACUUAUUAAUUCUUCGAAAUCCCGCCAAAUCAUAUUCUGAUCUUCCCGAGUUGGCAGAUGUCAUCAGAUAAGACAUUCUCGGUGUUUUUGUACUGCCAUGACAUUCGGAAUAAUAACCCGUGAUGUAAAACAUGGUGUAGGAGGGGUUUGACAAGUAUUGUUCGUGAGUUUUAUACAACACAAUAUCAUUUCUAACUUCCAUCUACUUUUUGUCUACAAGUCGCGACCGGAGAUGUCAAAAUAUUAGGUAGGGCAAAUCUCACACUAGUUAAAUAAUUCAAUGAUCAAAUAAACAUUCAAAUAUUAUCAAUUACACAAGGACAGGAAUGCAAAUUGAAAAUAAAUUAGUACUAGAAACACAAAAGGAAUAGACUGACAUUAGUUUUAAAUUUAAACAUGUUUCAUGCGCUCUUUUAUAAUGUUAUUUUAAAUUUUGUAAUAACCGAGAAACAAAACCAUUUUACCAUAAAAUAUUGAUUGAUAUUUUGGCUUAAAAUUCAGUGACCAUGUUUAAAAAAAGUUCUUAAGAUUUCAUAAGUAUAAAGUCUCACUCUGUAUGAAAUAAUUGAUACAAAUUCUGUCCCAUGAUCGCACUGUUGCAGGAAUCAAUAAUAAAACUUAAUUUUAUCGAUCAUUGAGUCAGGUUAGCGCAGUCAGGAUCCUACUUCGUCAGAAUUAUCUCCCCAUUACGCCAGUUUAUUUUUUACAAUCGUAGAAAUGGAAGCCAUUGUAGGGAUGACGCGCUACCAAUUUUGCUCAUGGAAACCGAUAAAUUUAUCCACAUUGCACCAUUACGAUCCUUAUAUAUCAGUUGUAUUUUAAAAGACAAAUGUAUCAACUAGCUAAUGAGCAUCAGUUAAUGAUCUUGUCUGCAUUGAUUCAACUUAAAACUAUUGUCUGAUCGGUUGUCAGGUGGAAUUUUCGAAAAUUCAUAAACAUUUUAAAAAAAUUCUAAUUAAAAAUUUCGUGGAAAGGCAGACUAGAUUUUUUUAGUGUAUAAAGACUAUAAACCCUAGUUUUCACACACAAAAAAAUUAUAUUUUUUCAAAGAUAUGCAUUUUCAUCAUCCAACUUGAAAGACUGUCGUCAAGUACUUUCAUUAAAAAAUAGCUAUUCGAACACACCUUCUCUGUUUUUGUGACUCAUUAGAUAGGUAUUUCACUUGACCCAUAUAUUUCAUCUUUAGUACUGUUAUUUUUUGUGUUAUAAAGUCAAUCUGUAGCUUUGAUAUAUAAAAAUAAUAGAAUCUGAAGCGAGACGAUGUAUGAAAUAAUCUUACUUUGUACGAUAUCAAGACAAAAUAUUCAACUCAAACACGCCGUAACAUAAAAAGGUGCACUCGAUUUUCUCUUUUCGAUACAAUUGUUACCCAUUUUUAGGAAUUUUUUCUUGAGUAACAUAAUGGAAGGGCAGACACGAAAAUUUUUGAACUAAUAGAUUGAUAUGUUAUAGGUCCGUGGUAAUUUUUUCAAAAAAAUCGGAGGUUAUGCAUUUUCUUCAUCCAACUUGAAAGAUACCCAUGUCGUCGACUUGAAAUCUUAUUGUUCUGCUUGACUAUGUACUAGAUAAAUUGAAAACUUAUGCAAAACACCUCGUAAUUGAAAAGAAAAUUGCAAUUUUCUUUGUUUCUAUUAACUUUUAAAAUUUUUGUCACUAUAGUAAACAAUACAGUACACAUUUAUCGCCUUCUCUAACAAAGAGCUUCGAUUCUUUUGUUCUAUUUCAACCGGGUUUCCGACUGAGCGAUCUUAGCGAAAAUAGUAUGGAACUUCCAGUGCUUCCAUCAAAAGUACAUUGUACUUUAAAAUAUUUUAAAACAAUAUAUAUAACAUUACAUUGCUAAUGAAUAUUAAAAAGCAAUUCAAUAUUAUGCAAAUAUUUGAUCUAAUAAAUAUUUAAUUUUAUUUCAUUUGAAUUUUCUUAUUAUUUAAUAUUGUAGUGUUAAUAAAAAAAAUACACAUAAAAUAUCAUUUACAUGUCAGGGUUAAAAAGUACAAUGUUAAAAACAGCAGUAGGUAAAACGAUUUUUACUUUGGGGUUUUAUUUCUCAAAUUUAAAUUGCCUGGUUAUUAAAAACAUACCAAGAAAAAAAAAUGAGUUCACAAGUGCAAAAAAUCUACCUCCAGAAUGUGAACUUAACAAUCCUAUACGGUUAUACUAAUAAAUACACUAAAUACAACGCGUGUUCAGUGUAUAUGCAUGGUUAUACAAAUAAGUAUGCUCUUACAACGUAUAUUAUUACGCAAAUCCCGAAAUCCCGAGCUUAAAAAAACCCGAUUAAAGGUCAUAUUCCCCCUCAUUGAGGUGUGCUGUCUUAUAACGUCUACGGUUAUAUAAAUAAGUCCUCUUACUGUGUACUGUAUGUUGAUAUACAAAUGAGUACUCUUACAGCGUAUAUGAAUAAACCAUACUAGCAACAUGUCAACAAUGAAUAUUCCUGUCGCAAUACUCUCCUUGCUAUCUUGAAAAAAUCACAAUACAUCAUACAUGGUAAAAAAAUAUAUCAAAACUGCAUUACGAUGAAUGUAAAGGUGGCAUAGAAUAAACAUUUUUGGAAAUCAGAAAGAAAGUAUAUACUUCUUUGAGACGACCCUUACAGUUUGUUAUACAAGAGAAAUGUAGAUAUGCAAUGAUCUAUCACAGGGUUAAUAUAAAGAGACAACUAAUAUUACGUAUUUCCGAGGGUACAUGUCAUGUGCCACUUCAACAAUUCGAUGCAUUUCCGGCAACUAUAGGGCCAACUCGAUUGAUAAAUGUCAUAAAUUUUUCUAGCAUUAUUGUACAUCAAGGCAUAGCAAACUGUGAAUGGAAUCUGAUAUGAUCUGAUAAACAAACUGAUAGAAUUUGGGUGAAUUUCAAAGCUUUUUGGAUCUGAACGAUAUAAAAAUUAGAGAAAAUUUAAAAAUCUGAACAAAAAUUUUCAUGUAUUUCAUUUAACGAAUGAUUGCCAAGGCAACUGGAUUAUGUAAAUGAAAAGUUGUGUUUUUUAGCAUUCCUUAUCAAUUAUCUUUAUUUUCUGAAGGAAUGUUAUCUCGGCAUAGUUAAAAAAGUGGUGUAGUUCAGCUGCAGUUUCUGGCAAGAUGUUAUCACACAAUUCAAUAUAGAUUUAUUAUAUUAUCAACGUAAUUGAAGAACUUGUGAGUCCGUAUGAAAUAUGUUCAAGAAUAUUUACGGAAUGGGUGCAUAAUUAAAAAAAAAUGUCGGAUAAUUCAUAUAAUUAUAAUGCCUUGUUCAGGGGUAAAGCAAAUCGCAUGUUCUCACAUUAAUUUGUUUUAAUUUGUCAGCAAAGUCUCGAGAUAGUUGUAUUACUAUUGUCAUAAUGAUAUUUAUUUUAUCGUAUAUUUCAUAUGAAGAUCCAAGCAAGAUAUAAAUAGUAUAUUGUAAAUACCAUUGAAAAUGCGGACAUCCGAUAUAAACUGUUGGAAGGCAUGCGACUAUGUCUUAUUUGCAUUUUAAAUAAGAAACGUUUUAUAAUUUAAUAGUUCAUUUGAUGGUUCAUAGCUUGUUGUAUAAUUUUCGAUUGACAAUUAAUUAUAGUUAAAAUAAUUUUCCUCAAGGGUAACAUUCGCUCUGUGGCAAAUGCUUUCGUAAUAAUAUAAUUUAAACGACAUUUUUAAAACUUUGUAAAUUUUCAGUUCAUGAAUUAUUCAAUCAUAUCUAACAAGUCAUCAAAUGUAAAAUAGAGGUGGUCACACUUUUAUCAACAUGUUUUGAUCAAGUUUUUUUUUGUAGGAAAGAAAAUUCAUUGUCAACAAAAAGAUAGUUACUUCCUCGGGAAAAGUAUAUAGACGGUUGGAUUGUUUUAUGUACGUAUUUUUCGUUUGCAGUGUAACCAAUAAUGCAUAUUCCAGAAGUCAGUAUAAUAUGUUUUAGACUACAACUGUAACGAUGUCGAUGCGAAUGGACUAUCAGUCUUGGAGAAUAUCACCAACAUGAUUUCAUCAAUACAUUUUGAGGUUUAUUUUUCAGUUAAAAAUUUCUAUUCUAUAAAUUUAUGUUGCACCUUCCUCAGCCAAACUUGAUCUAAGGCAUUUUUCGGCUGUUAAUUAGUAGACCCUGUUCGUUUUCAUGCAGUAGUAGUUUUAGCAAUUCCAAACAAUUUGGUCGUGAGCGUAACUUAUGAAGUGGGUGCAUGACAUACUUACAACUAAUUUACCAAUCAAUCAACCAUUUAUUUGUGUCUUUUAUACACAGUUCGGAACAUCUCUACUCUAAGCGGCUAGAAAACCUCGAAAAUCGAUUCCUUAUCAGAACGUGCGGCAAAAUACGAACAAAACUUGGUACUUAAACUGUUCCCUCCUUAAGUUAUCAAAUACUUGAGGUAGACACCAACUAUAACUAGAAUUCUCCGACUGUGUUAUCUAUUAACGAUGCUUCAAUGUAAAACUCAGCAGUCUACUCCAAAUAACUUAAUCUCUAAGAGUACAUGUCAAGUUCCAAACGUCUACUGCGCAUAGCUUAAUCUCUAAGAAGUGCAUGUCAAGUUCCGGUGUGAACCUAAAAUUAAGAAUAAUCGUAACUUUAA
rnacentral:lncRNA from 1 species